CAAUAGCGUAUAUUAAAGUUGUUGCAGUUAAAAAGCUCGUAGUCGGAUUUUGGCAUCACGCCGCACUGUCUGCCGAUUGGUAAGUACGGUUUGGCGGUUGCUUCCUUCCGGUGCUGUAUGCUGCUCUUAAUUGAGCGGUAUGCUAGUUCCGGUUCAUUUACUUUGAGAAAAUUAGAGUGUUCAAAGCAGGCCUAUGCUCUGAAUAGGUUAGCAUGGAAUAAUAGAAUAGGACUUUGGUUCUAUUCUGUUGGUUUCUAGGACCGAAGUAAUGAUUAAUAGGGACAGUCGGGGGCAUUCAUAUUCCAUUGUCAGAGGUGAAAUUCUUGGAUUAACGGAAGAUGAACUUCUGCGAAAGCAUCUGCCAAGGAUGUUUUCAUUA
rnacentral:rRNA from 1 species